UUGUCCCGUUUCCCCUAGGCUCCCCGACGCCACUAGAUGGUGCUUUUAGCCGCUGCUAAAACCCUCAGUGCUCGCAGACACGGGUUUGUUAUCAUCGCACAGGAGCUCCAGAGCUCUGGGGAACAGGGAUUUUUACAGAACAGAAAACUUAUCCCGCACGAGGACAGACAGCCAGAAACGCAGAUAUAUCCAUAGGAGGAAAAAAAGGGGGGGAAAAAGGGGAAAAAAGGGCUCUGCACUGGAUUCUUUCAGCAAUAUUUGUACACGUGUGAUCCCAAAGCGAAAGGAGCUCCCCGGGGACCCUGACGGGACAAUCUGGUCUGUCACAGCAGCGCCUUUUGCCGGUGGCACUGGCCGGGCUCCACCGGGGCUGCUCAGGCUGGAAGGCUCGGAUCAGCCCUGGAAAGGCUGCACGAAUGCAGAUUGCCCUCGUGUUUUUCCAGGCUCCCAGACCAUCUGGCUCCGGCUCGGACAGCAGCCAGUGGGAUGAGGGGCUUGGGCAGCCUGGUGAGAGGCCUGGGCCCUGAGUCCUGCAGCUCUGGGGACCCAGCAGGCCGCAGAACCACCGGGCCCAGGGGCUAUGGAAGCAGGCAAGAAGAUGAACCAAGGCUGGAAGACAUCAGUGGGUAGAUGGAACUUGAAAUAUGGAUACUGAAACAAAUCUUCUGAGACCUUUUUAGGAUAAACCCAUCAGCUGUCUGAUCUGUCAUUCUGUGGCUCCUGAGCAGUGCUGGAUGAAGACAUCACCUAAUCUGCCAUGGAUUUGUGCUGGGUGAGAACUGCUGGUUAAUCUGGCUCUUGUGAUAGCAAAUGAACCAAUGGAAGCUGCUGAAACUACCACUGCCAAAUAGUCUGGGAAUCUGGCUGCACAUCCAUGUUCUGAUGCCGUGAUGUGAAGCUGGACACGUGAAUGCUUUGGUAUGUGAAUACUGGGCCUUGGAGCUUGACUUCCCCCAUUUAAGGGUCAGACAUUAAACAGUUCCAGAUGUUGA